UUUAAAAUCAAAUGAACAAAAUGACAGCAGAUGGCACUAAUGAGCCACUAAUUCCAAGUCUAUAGUGGAAGAAAAUAUCGAAGAGGAAGAAGAAGAAGAAGAAAGCUGAUCCUUUAGCCUAGUUUGGUUCGACUGUAUUUUCAGCGUUAUAAAGUUAUUACAAAUCAAUAGAACUACAGGAUGUUAAAACAGAACUCCAGGAGUCCAUAAGGAAGAUUUACAAGCUGUCUGAACGGAGACACACGUUGUAGACACACGAGAGAGAGAGAGAGAGGGAGAGAGAGAGAGAGAGAGAGAGAGAGAGAGAGAGAGAGAGAGAGAGAGAGAGAGACUGUGUGUGUGUGUGUGUGUGUGUGUGUGUGUGUGUGAGAGAGAGGGAGAGAGAGAGAGAGAGAGAGAGAGAGAGAGAGAGAUGGAGCAAGGUGUGAUGGAUAGCCCGGUGGUCCUCGUCAUUAAAGCUCCUGAUCAGAAGUACGACGAUCAAACUAUCAGCUGCUUCCUCAACUGGACGGUGGAGAAACUGAAGAGCCAUCUUUCCAACGUUUAUCCCAGCAAACCUCGCUCGAAGGAUCAGAGGUUGGUGUACUCUGGAAAGCUGCUCCAGGAUCACUGUAAGCUUCGAGACGUGCUCAGAAAGCACGACGAGUUCCAUAUGCUGCAUCUGGUGUGUGCUUCACGCAGUCCUCCUCCAUCACCAAGCACACGCAGGAGAAACGGCAGCAGCAAUCAGUCCACGAGCUCUAACAGCUCCAGAAGUCCCGCCCCUAGAGAUAACGUCCAAUCAGCUUCCUCUGAAGUGGCUCCUGAUAGGCUGAGUUUGAGCUCUAGUCCCAACUAUCCACAUCCUUCAGCACACGGGUCACAGUGGAAUCAGUGGUUUAACCAGCAGCAACACAACACCCACACGCCACACUACCCCAUGUACAACCCCCACACCCUGCUGUGGUGGCAGCAGCUCUACACCUGGCACUUCCACAUGACCUAUCAAACAUGGCUCGCAUCCCAGCAGUCGGCUACACCCUCAGUUCCCCCUAUCAGAGAGGCACAGGCCGUUGCCCAUGACAACCCCCGGAACGGCCCGGUUGGGGCGGGGCUUAACGAGGAUGAUCUGCACCGUGAUUGGCUGGACUGGGUGUACGCAGUGUCUCGAGCAGUUGUCCUCCUCAGCCUCGUCUAUUUCUAUUCGUCUUUUAGCCGAUUCGUCAUGGUAACAGGAGCCAUGCUGCUGCUCUACCUGCAUCAGGCAGGUUGGUUACCCUUUAACCUGGAUAACGAGCUGCAGGACCUCGCUGAACCGGCCAAUCACAAUCAGGAUGAGCCAAUCGCAGACAAUCACAACAACACGGACCAGCUGGCAGAUGAAGGCGAGGACGAGGAGGAGCAGCGAGAAGGACCCGAUGACGACGACGACGAUUACGACGACGACAAUGACGAAGACAACGAAGGAUGGGUGAACAUGGGGUUCCUCUCCUCCGCUUGGUCUUUCGUCACCACCUUCUUUGCCUCUCUGAUUCCCGAAGCCGUUCCCAACGUGGUGAACUGACGUCGAGCUUCACCCUCGAUCACUAAAAAUCCCUCCAUCACUUCAACAACCCUGCAGAACCGAGCAGGACACGAGCAAAGACGAGCACGUUCGGACAAACCGCAUCAAACCUUUCUGACGGGAAGCUUUCCAAAGAAAAUGUAUAACUCAAAUAUAGUGGACCUGGACUAGUAGUUGAGGAACUUGAACUAGCAGGAGACGGACCUGGACAAGCAGGAGACGGACCUGGACAAGCAGGAGACGAUCCUAAACUAAGGGGAGACAAACCUGGACUAGCAGUUGUGGGACCUGGACAAGCAGGAGAUGGGCCCGGACCUGGACUAGCAGGAGACAGACCUGGACAUUGACAUGGACUUGCAGUUGACAGACCUGGACGUAUCAGGAGACGGACCUGGACAUAGCAGGAGACUAACCUAAACUAAGGGGAGACGAACCUGGACAUAGCGGGAGACUAACCUAAACUAAGGGGAGACGAACCUGGACAUAGUGGGAGACUAACCUAAACUAAGGGGAGACGAACCUGGACAUAGCGGGAGACUAACCUAAACUAAGGGGAGACGAACCUGGACAUAGCAGGAGACUAACCUAAACUAAGGGGAGACGAACCUGGACAUAGCGGGAGACAAACCUAAACUAAGGGGAGACGAACCUGGACAUAGCGGGAGACUAACCUAAACUAAGGGGAGACGAACCUGGACAUAGCAGGAGACAGACCUGGACAUUGACAUGGACUAGCAGAUGACGGACAUGGACUAACAGAUGAAACUAGAGUGUGUUCGCUUUUCACUUGACUUCCCAAAAUGUUGAGCUUCCUAUUUCAAGACACAAGCUCUUGAUUAUUCAUGAACCAAAAAUUCCUCCAUGUACAAGAUGUGUUCAGUGUGAAGGCUCCGUGAUAAAAGGUCCCAACUGUAACAUGGACACAGCUUUCCGGUUGAAACCGGAUUGGAGUGCUCAUUUUAUUCUCAAGUACUUCAAGUGUGAACAAAAACGAUGGAUUUAAAACAACAGUGUUAAUAAUUAACAUUCGUGUUUAUUUAUUCGGUCGGCCAAUCGUGUGGCAGCACAACUGGAACAUCUGGGCUACAGCAGGUUCAGGCUCAGUUGUUGAAGAUGAAACAAAACGUGGUCUCUAAGUUUUUUCAGUAAUUUUAUUUUUGAUUUAUUUAUGUUUUUUUGCUUAAAUGUCUGACAGGAAUGCGGCCUUUCUCUUUUCUAGUCCGUGUUGUAUGGUUUUCUGCUCGGUUGUAAAGAGUGGCUGUCUGUGUUACCUGUCAGGUCAAAGAAGUCUCGUAUGGACACCUAUUUGCCAUCGCUAUCAGUUUUUUUAACAACAACGGUGUUGUCCUGUAUGAAAUGUUCCAAUACUUUGUACUUUUUUAUGGCUUCAUUUCUAGCACAAUAGAACUUUUGGGCUGAAGACGACAUGUUUGAGACGCAGGAUUUCACACGACCCUAACAAGCGUAAUAGCGUGUUAUAAAGCAGGUUCAAGCGUAUGAUGCAAAAACACGUCUCCUUUCCUUCCUGGACACAUUUCAUAUUCAAGCUCUUCAUCGUGCAUCCAUUUGAUUUGUGAAAAUUUCCGAAAGAUUUUUUUUUUCCCACCUACAAAAAUGACACGUCAUCAGACUCGGUGUAUCGAUCGAUUGUACGAUAUUUAUUAUGACAAUUUUAACCAAAAUUAAAUUUCAAAAAUCUUUGUGAAUUCUACACAAAAACAAAGAGUUAAUGAUUUUUCAAUCAAAAUUCAUCACCUGUGUGUGACAAAUAAAAACCAGACUAUACAAAAUACAGUUCUACUUUUUUCUUUCUUUCUUUUAUUUUUUUAUUUUUAACUGUAUUAUUGCACAGAUACUUGUAGUACAACACACAUUUUCUUCUGUACUCACCAGGCUGCAUUACCGGUGUGUGUGUGUGUGUGUGUGUGUGAUGCUACACACUAGUGUAUGAUGUGGUUUACAGUAACAAACACACAAUCUUUAAGGACACGAUGGUAAAACACGUGUGCACACUGAAGGAACGAGUAUACGGGAAAGAACGUGGUAUUAUGUGACACUCACACACACACAGUACACACACACACACACUACAAUUCACUGAUAAUGUUGCAUGGCUUUUUGAGACAUGACAAACCCUGAAGAACACACAUGGUUAUUACUUCUACAUAAUCUUUGGAGUAACACUACACUAUAUACUAUGUAUAACCCGGGGAAGAUUAUUACUGUGUCAUAUUGCUGGCCUUCUCUGUUUCCUCUAAGCCUCAGCACAUCUCCAAGGCACACCAUUAAAUCCUGAAUAGUAACCCGGAACCUUUAAAGGACGUCUCACUUGAAAUAGCGGCAAAUCUAAACAAAUCAGUCAGAUACUUCUGAGCACCUCCUUCCUGUGGCUCCUUCAUGCUUCACACGGAACUUGAUUUAAAUAUGAAUCGUUUUAGUUAACUGGUGAGAACUUGCUCAAAAAUGUAUUUAUUUAAAGAAUUGUUAAAUAAAUGCAUUUUGUAAUGCUA